ACCUGAGAGGGUGAUCGGCCACACUGGGACUGAGACACGGCCCAGACUCCUACGGGAGGCAGCAGUAGGGAAUCUUCGGCAAUGGGGGGAACCCUGACCGAGCAACGCCGCGUGAGUGAAGAAGGUUUUCGGAUCGUAAAGCUCUGUUGUUAAGGAAGAACGAGUGUGAGAAUGGAAAGUUCAUACUGUGACGGUACUUAACCAGAAAGGGACGGCUAACUACGUGCCAGCAGCCGCGGUAAUACGUAGGUCCCGAGCGUUGUCCGGAUUUAUUGGGCGUAAAGCGAGCGCAGGCGGUUAGAAAAGUCUGAAGUGAAAGGCAGUGGCUCAACCAUUGUAGGCUUUGGAAACUGUUUAACUUGAGUGCAGAAGGGGAGAGUGGAAUUCCAUGUGUAGCGGUGAAAUGCGUAGAUAUAUGGAGGAACACCGGUGGCGAAAGCGGCUCUCUGGUCUGUAACUGACGCUGAGGCUCGAAAGCGUGGGGAGCGAACAGGAUUAGAUACCCUGGUAGUCCACGCCGUAAACGAUGAGUGCUAGGUGUUAGGUCCUUUCCGGGACUUAGUGCCGCAGCUAACGCAUUAAGCACUCCGCCUGGGGAGUACGACCGCAAGGUUGAAACUCAAAGGAAUUGACGGGGGCCCGCACAAGCGGUGGAGCAUGUGGUUUAAUUCGAAGCAACGCGAAGAACCUUACCAGGUCUUGACAUCCCGAUGCUAUUUCUAGAGAUAGGAAGUUUCUUCGGAACAUCGGUGACAGGUGGUGCAUGGUUGUCGUCAGCUCGUGUCGUGAGAUGUUGGGUUAAGUCCCGCAACGAGCGCAACCCUUAUUGUUAGUUGCCAUCAUUGAGUUGGGCACUCUAGCGAGACUGCCGGUAAUAAACCGGAGGAAGGUGGGGAUGACGUCAAAUCAUCAUG
rnacentral:rRNA from 1 species